UGCAUGUCUAAGUAUAAGCAAUCUAUACAGUGAAACUGCGAAUGGCUCAUUAAAUCAGUUAUCGUUUAUUUGAUAGUACCUUACUACUUGGAUAACCGUGGUAAUUCUAGAGCUAAUACAUGCUAAAAAUCCCGACCCCUGGAAGGGAUGUAUUUAUUAGAUAAAAAACCAAUGCCUUCGGGCUCCUUGGUGAUUCAUGAUAACUUAACGAAUCGCAUGGCCUUGUGCCGGCGAUGGUUCAUUCAAAUUUCUGCCCUAUCAACUUUCGAUGGUAGGAUAGUGGCCUACCAUGGUUUCAACGGGUAACGGGGAAUUAGGGUUCUAUUCCGGAGAGGGAGCCUGAGAAACGGCUACCACAUCCAAGGAAGGCAGCAGGCGCGCAAAUUACCCAAUCCCGACACGGGGAGGUAGUGACAAUAAAUACUGAUACAGGGCGCUUUCGCGUCUUGUAAUUGGAAUGAGUACAAUUUAAAUCCCUUAACGAGGAACAAUUGGAGGGCAAGUCUGGUGCCAGCAGCCGCGGUAAUUCCAGCUCCAAUAGCGUAUAUUAAAGUUGUUGCAGUUAAAAAGCUCGUAGUUGAACCUUGGGCCUGGCUGGCCGGUCCACCUCACCGUGAGAACUGGUCCGGCCGGGUCUUUCCUUCUGGCUAACCUCAUGCCCUUCACUGGGUGUGUUGGGGAACCAGGACUUUUACUUUGAAAAAAUUAGAGUGUUCAAAGCAGGCAUUUGCUCGAAUACAUUAGCAUGGAAUAAUAGAAUAGGACGUGCGGUUCUAUUUUGUUGGUUUCUAGGACCGCCGUAAUGAUUAAUAGGGAUAGUCGGGGGCAUCCGUAUUCAAUUGUCAGAGGUGAAAUUCUUGGAUUUAUUGAAGACGAACUACUGCGAAAGCAUUUGCCAAGGAUGUUUUCAUUAAUCAGGAACGAAAGUUGAGGGAUCGAAGACGAUCAGAUACCGUCGUAGUCUCAACCAUAAACUAUGCCGACUAGGGAUCGGGCGCAGUACUUUUCGUGACUCGCUCGGCACCUUACGAG
rnacentral:rRNA from 1 species